UACGUAGGUGGCUAGCGUUGUCCGGAUUUACUGGGCGUAAAGAGCGCGCAGGCGGUCGUUCAAGUCGAGUGUGAAAGCCCCCGGCUCAACUGGGGAGGGUCACUCGAUACUGAUCGACUUGAAGGCGGGAGAGGGAAGCGGAAUUCCCGGUGUAGUGGUGAAAUGCGUAGAUAUCGGGGGGAACACCAGUGGCGAAGGCGGCUUUCUGGCCCGUUCUUGACGCUGAGGCGCGAAAGCUAGGGGAGCAAACGGG
rnacentral:rRNA from 1 species